GUCAUUAAUGUUGACUGUACUGAGUGACGAGUGCAUAGUGUAAUGCAAAUUGUGUCAUUAAUGUUUAAUUGUAGGCCUACUGACGAGUGCAUUGUGUAGUAAACAUUUCCCCAUCCUCAUGUGACAUGGUUUCAUUCUGUAGGCAAACAACAAACCACACUUCACCUGGAAAACAGAGCCAGGACUCACUGUCAGAUGUCUGAAAAUGUACAGUAGGCUACACGCCAGCAGGUCUCACCAUAGUCAACAUCAUCAAGGAUUGUCACUCUGACCUGAGAAGAGGCCCCAUAGAGACACGGACAAGGACCAGCCACUGUUGCCAGUGCACAACUGAGGACCCGACCAGCCUGCUGCCAUCUAUGAUACUAUAUAGUACACGCGGAGCGGUCUGAAGACGUGGAGUACACUGCAGCAGGUAUCACAUGACCAAGGACUUGGACAACGUCUCUGUUUACAUCUAUAGUGUAUUACACAACUGAAGAUGUGCACAGUACGCUACUGCCUGCAUCCUACCACCACAGAGGAUCCGAUAUG